GCGAAAGCGUGGGGAGCAAACAGGAUUAGAUACCCUGGUAGUCCACGCCCUAAACGAUGUACACUAGUUGUUGUGAGACUAGAUCUUGCAGUAAUGCAGUUAACACAUUAAGUGUACCGCCUGGGGAGUACGGUCGCAAGAUUAAAACUCAAAGGAAUAGACGGGGACCCGCACAAGCGGUGGAGCAUGUGGUUUAAUUCGACGAUACACGAAGAACCUUACCUGGACUUGACAUAGUAAGAACUUUCUAGAGAUAGAUUGGUGUCUGCUUGCAGAAACUUAUAUACAGGUGCUGCACGGCUGUCGUCAGCUCGUGUCGUGAGAUGUUGGGUUAAGUCCCGCAACGAGCGCAACCCUCGUGUUUAGUUGCUAACAGUUCGGCUGAGAACUCUAAACAGACUGCCUACGCAAGUAGGAGGAAGGUGAGGACGACGUCAAGUCAUCAUGGCCCUUACGUCCAGGGCUACACACGUGCUACAAUGGGAUAUACAAAGAGCGGCAAUACGGUGACGUGGAGCAAAUCUUAUAAAAUAUCUCCCAGUUCGGAUUGUAGUCUGCAACUCGACUACAUGAAGUUGGAAUCGCUAGUAAUCGUAGAUCAGCUAUGCUACGGUGAAUACGUUCCCGGGUCUUGUACUCACCGCCCGUCACACCAUGGGAGUCGAACUCAUUCGAAGCGGGGAUGCUAAAGUAGCUACCUUCCACAGUGGAUUUGGCGACUGGGGUGAAGUCGUAACAAGGUAACCGUAGGAGAACCUGCGGUUG
rnacentral:rRNA from 1 species